rnacentral:lncRNA from 1 species
CUUGUUUGCUUUUGCAUUCUGUUUCCCACAGGAGCCUUGCGGGAUGGUUGGAGACAGGGAAGGUGACUGUCUUAUUCAGGACCUUAUAGUGGAACUCAAUAAAUGGAUAAUACCCCAAUAUUUAAAACAGUGCCGAGCACAUGUUUGGCCUCCACUACUCUUUAAACAAAUGCACCUUCCUGCCUGUCCUGGCACAGGCCUGGGAGAGGGGGACUUCUGGUUGGGAGGCUUGUCCUCCAUUCUACAUCCAGGCCUGUGUUGGCAGAGAUGGCGCUUGUAAACAUUACCUGUGCCUCCUCACUGGCUUCGUGCAGCUCUUCAGCUGCCUGGCCUCAGCCUCCACAGGACUCUGGCCCUCAGGCUAUGGCUGCAAUUGCUGCAGUAGCUGCUGCUAGGGCAGCCCUUCAGCAUCAGUGGGUGUGGAAGCGCAAUCAGGAGCAGGGCAGUGUAGUUGCCGCCAUGGUUGCAGGCCCAGAAAGUGCCCCGGGGGUUCUCAUAGCACACUAUGAAGUCAAGGCGCACCCCAUCGCUCACGCCCUCAGCAAAGGGCAGCAGGAAGGUAAAGUGGUCAGUGCAGCCAUCUUGGUCCGGUGAGGAGGCUGGGUGCCUCCCAGAUAACCACUCCCCCGUCCGCCCCACCCCUCUGCCCCCACCCCCACCCCAACCGCUCCUGGAGGCUGCAGCACCUCCAACCCCACCAUCAUGUGCCCCAACCGCUCCAAAUGGCCCAGUGUGGGAGGCAACAAAAAUAUCUCAAAGGAAAGCUUCGCUGUUUGCCAUACAUUGCUGUAGAUUCCCUUCUCAGACUAAAUUUUUAACGCAGUGUUCAAGCAAUAAAUAUAAGUAGAAACAUUCAGAAAGGAACAUGGGAAAAGAAGAAGAACAUUAUUAUAAAGUGAAGAACAAUCACUACACAUUUCUGCCAAACUGGAUGUUAUUUUCACCUAUACUGGUAAGUCUUUAAUAGAUAUAAGUAAAGAUUUGUGUCCCCAAGUGAAAAGUGAUCAAUUGUAUCUUACAUGGCUUCCUUUGAUUGCUUAUCAUUAUAUAUCUCACAAAUGCUGUCAUUUGGGAGACUUUCAAUAGAAAGAUUCACAGGGUUUGGAGGCAUGCAGACCAGUUAAUUAUCAUUUUAUAUACUUGAAAAGAGAAGUGUUAAAAUAUACAAAAGAGACAAAAGGUUAAUUGUUAGUUGGCA